CUACGGGGCGCUGCAGUCGCGGAACUUUUACAAUGCACGAAAGUGUGAUAAAGCGAGCCAAAGUGUUUUUCGUAUAGAAAAACUUUUUCUUAGUGUAAAAAUCUAGGAGAAUAAGGACUGGGAAAGAUCGGUGCCAGCCGCCGCGGUAAUACCGACAGUUCAAGUUGCAUCCCUUUUUAUUGGGUCUAAAACAUCCGUAGCUUGCCAUUUAAGUCUCUUGUGAAAUCCUACGUCUCAAGCGUAGGGCUUGCAGGAGAUACUGGGUGGCUAGAGAUCGGUAGACGUAAGGAGUACGCCGGGGGUAGUGGUAAAAUGUGUUAAUCCUCGGUGGACUAACAAUGAGCGAAGGCACCUUACGAGGACGAAUCUGACAGUGAGGGAUGAAGGCCAGGGGCGCAAAACGGAUUAGAUACCCCGGUAGUC
rnacentral:rRNA from 1 species